CCCGACCUUAUGUGCGGUGUCUCUCCGAACCCUCUCAACCGUCCGAACUUCUUCGACAAUGAACUUCUACAUUCAUCCACUGGGCCACCCCAAAGGCCCUCGGGGCCCCACUGUUAGCGGACCCUCUAUAGCAACCGACUACCCCCGAACUUCUUUCGAACUUCAUCAGCAUCUGAGCUUCCCCGACAAUGAGAUUUCUACAGUAACCAGACUCCACCCAAGUUUCUAUGAUGAUCGACCACCUCUCGGAUCCUAAUCGAGCUCCCACGAGAGCCAAACUUCUACUACGAACGGUCUACUCUGAACUCCUACAGCAGGUGACUCCCACCUGAAAGGUCAGCACCCGAAGCAUCUGACAAUAGUAGAUUCAUCAGCGACCUCGAAACAUCUGAGNNNNN
rnacentral:lncRNA from 1 species